rnacentral:rRNA from 1 species
ACGGAAGGCAGCAGUGCGUCAUAUUGGUCAAUGGAGGCAACUCUGAACCAGCCAUCUCGCGUGAAGGAAUACGGCCCUACGGGUCUUAAACUUCUUUUAUAGGGGGAUAAAGUGAGAUAUGUAUAUCUUUUUGUAGGUACCCUAUGAAUAAGCAUCGGCUAACUCCGUGCCAGCAGCCGCGGUAAUACGGAGGAUGCGAGCGUUAUCCGGAUUUAUUGGGUUUAAAGGGUGCGCAGGCGGCACGUUAAGUCAGCGGUGAAAUGUCGGGGCUCAACCCGGGCACUGCCGUUGAAACUGGCGAGCUUGAGUACGGAUGAAGUCGGCGGAAUGUGAUGUGUAGCGGUGAAAUGCUUAGAUAUGUCACAGAACACCGAUUGCGAAGGCAGCUGACUAAUCCGCAACUGACGCUCAGGCACGAAAGAGUGGGGAUCGAACAGGAUUAGAUAAAAUGGUA